UACGUAGGGUGCGAGCGUUAAUCGGAAUUACUGGGCGUAAAGCGUGCGCAGGCGGUUCGCUGUGUCCGAUGUGAAAGCCCCGGGCUUAACCUGGGAAUGGCAUUGGAAACUGGCGGGCUUGAGUGCGGCAGAGGGGGGUGGAAUUCCGCGUGUAGCAGUGAAAUGCGUAGAUAUCUGGAGGAACACCGGUGGCGAAGGCGGCAUCCUGGACCGGCAUUGACGCUGAGGCGCGAAAGCCAGGGGAGCAAACGGG
rnacentral:rRNA from 1 species